CGGCGUAAAGCGUGGUUAAGAAAAUAUAAAAGAUGGGGUCGAACAACCUCAAGGCUGUCAUACGCAUUCGAGGCCACGAAGCACACUCAACGAAAGUAGCCCCACCAACCCUCUGACCCCACGAAGGCCAUAUGAACAAACUGGGAUUAGAUACCCCACUAUGUCUGGCUGUAAACAUUGAUGGCUGCACACAACGACCAUCCGCCUGGGAACUACGAGCAUAAGCUUGAAACCCAAAGGACUUGGCGGUGCUUUAUACCCCCCUAGAGGAGCCUGUUCUAGAACUGAUAAUCCCCGUUAAACCUCACCAUCCCUUGUUUAACCCGCUUAUAUACCACCGUCGUCAGCCUACCCUGUGAGGGACAAAUAGCAAGCAAGAUUGGCAAAGCCAAAAACGUCAGGUCGAGGUGUAGCGAAUGAGAUGGGAAGAAAUGGGCUACAUUCUCUACCACAGAGAACACGAAUGAUAAUUUGAAAAAAUUAACUGAAGGAGGAUUUAGCAGUAAGUGAGGACCAGAGAGCCCCACUGAAACUGGCAAUAAAGCACGCACAUACCGCCCGUCACUCUCUCCGAAUGAUGCAACAAUUUUAACUAAAACG
rnacentral:rRNA from 1 species